GACGAACGCUGGCGGCGUGCUUAACACAUGCAAGUCGAACGGAAAGGCCCUGCUUGCAGGGUACUCGAGUGGCGAACGGGUGAGUAACACGUGGGUGAUCUGCCCUGCACUUCGGGAUAAGCCUGGGAAACUGGGUCUAAUACCGGAUAGGAGCCAUUUUUAGUGUGAUGGUUGGAAAGUUUUUUCGGUGUAGGAUGAGCUCGCGGCCUAUCAGCUUGUUGGUGGGGUAAUGGCCUACCAGGGCGGCGACGGGUAGCCGGCCUGAGGGGGUGGACGGCCACAUUGGGACUGAGAGAAGGCCCAGACGCCGACGGGAGGCAGCAGUGGGGAAGAUUGCUCAAGGGGCGCAAGCCUGAUGCAGCGACGCCGCGUGGGGGAUGACGGCCUUCGGGUUGUAAAAUCCUUUCGCUAGGGACGAAGCUUUUUGUGACGGUACCUAGAUAAGAAGCACCGGCUAACUACGUG
rnacentral:rRNA from 1 species